AAAGACGGUCUUGCUGUCACUUAUAGAUGGAUCCGCGCUGCAUUAGCUAAUUGGUAAGGUAACGGCUUACCAAGGCAACGAUGCAUAGCCGACCUGAGAGGGUGAUCGGCCACACUGGAACUGAGACACGGUCCAGACUCCUACGGGAGGCAGCAGUAGGGAAUCUUCCGCAAUGGGCGAAAGCCUGACGGAGCAACGCCGCGUGAGUGAUGAAGGUCUUCGGAUCGUAAAACUCUGUUAUUAGGGAAGAACAUAUGUGUAAGUAACUGUGCACAUCUUGACGGUACCUAAUCAGAAAGCCACGGCUAACUACGUGCCAGCAGCCGCGGUAAUACGUAGGUGGCAAGCGUUAUCCGGAAUUAUUGGGCGUAAAGCGCGCGUAGGCGGUUUUUUAAGUCUGAUGUGAAAGCCCACGGCUCAACCGUGGAGGGUCAUUGGAAACUGGAAAACUUGAGUGCAGAGGAGGAAAGUUGAAUUCCAUGUGUAGCGGUGAAAUGCGCAGAGAUAUGGAGGAACACCAGUGGCGAAGGCGACUUUCUGGUCUGUAACUGACGCUGAUGUGCGAAAGCGUGGGGAUCAAACAGGAUUAGAUACCCUGGUAGUCCACGCCGUAAACGAUGAGUGCUAAGUGUUAGGGGGUUUCCGCCCCUUAGUGCUGCAGCUAACGCAUUAAGCACUCCGCCUGGGGAGUACGACCGCAAGGUUGAAACUCAAAGGAAUUGACGGGGACCCGCACAAGCGGUGGAGCAUGUGGUUUAAUUCGAAGCAACGCGAAGAACCUUACCAAAUCUUGACAUCCUUUGACAACUCUAGAGAUAGAGCCUUCCCCUUCGGGGGACAAAGUGACAGGUGGUGCAUGGUUGUCGUCAGCUCGUGUCGUGAGAUGUUGGGUUAAGUCCCGCAACGAGCGCAACCCUUAAGCUUAGUUGCCAUCAUUAAGUUGGGCACUCUAAGUUGACUGCCGGUGACAAACCGGAGGAAGGUGGGGAUGACGUCAAAUCAUCAUGCCCCUUAUGAUUUGGGCUACACACGUGCUACAAUGGACAAUACAAAGGGCAGCGAAACCGCGAGGUCAAGCAAAUCCCAUAAAGUUGUUCUCAGUUCGGAUUGUAGUCUGCAACUCGACUACAUGAAGCUGGAAUCGCUAGUAAUCGUAGAUCAGCAUGCUACGGUGAAUACGUUCCCGGGUCUUGUACACACCGCCCGUCACACCACGAGAGUUUGUAACACCCGAAGCCGGUGGAGUAACCUUUUAGGAGCUAGCCGUCGAAGGUGGGACAAAUGAUUGGGGUGAAGUCGUAACAAGGUAGCCGUAUCGGAAGGUGCGGCUGGAUCACCU
rnacentral:rRNA from 1 species